AUUGAACGCUGGCGGCAGGCCUAACACAUGCAAGUCGAGCGAGCGGCGGACGGGUGAGUACUGUCUGGGAAACUGCCUGAUGGCGGGGGAUAACUACUGGAAACGGUAGCUAAUACCGCAUACCAUCAGAUGUGCCCAGGUGGGAUUAGCUAGUAGGUGGGGUAACGGCCAACCUAGGCGACGAUCCCUAGCUGGUAUGCGAGGAUGAACAGCAACAAUGCAACGGAGACACGGUCCAGACUCCUACGAGAGACAGCAGGGGGGAAUAUUGCACAAUGAGCGCAAGCCUGAUGCAGUCAUGACGCGUGUGUGAAGAAGGCCUUCGGGUUGUAAAGCACUUUCAGCGGGUAGGCGUUACCCGCAGAAGAAGCACCGGCUAACUCCGUGCCAGCAGCCGCGGUAAUAC
rnacentral:rRNA from 1 species